GUAGGGGGCGAGCGUUGUCCGGAUUUAUUGGGCGUAAAGAGCUCGUAGGCGGUUCGGCAAGUCACGUGUGAAAUCUCCACGCUCAACGUGGAGGCGCCACGUGAGACUGCCGUGACUCGAGUCCGGUAGAGGAGCGUGGAAUUCCCGGUGUAGCGGUGAAAUGCGCAGAGAUCGGGAGGAACACCCGUAGCGAAGGCGGCGCUCUGGGCCGGUACUGACGCUGAGGAGCGAAAGCGUGGGGAGCAAACAGGAUUAGAUACCCUGGUAGUCCACGCCGUAAACGUUGGGCACUAGGUGUGGGGCUCUAUCGACGGGCUCUGUGCCGUAGCUAACGCAUUAAGUGCCCCGCCUGGGGAGUACGGCCGCAAGGCUAAA
rnacentral:rRNA from 1 species